rnacentral:rRNA from 1 species
GUGGGGAAUCUUGCGCAAUGGGCGAAAGCCUGACGCAGCCAUGCCGCGUGAAUGAUGAAGGUCUUAGGAUUGUAAAAUUCUUUCACCGGGGACGAUAAUGACGGUACCCGGAGAAGAAGCUCCGGCUAACUUCGUGCCAGCAGCCGCGGUAAUACGAAGGGGGCUAGCGUUGCUCGGAAUUACUGGGCGUAAAGGGCGCGUAGGCGGACAGCUUAGUCAGAGGUGAAAGCCCAGGGCGCAACCUUGGAAUUGCCUUUGAUACUGGCUGUCUUGAGUUUGGGAGAGGUGAGUGGAACUCCGAGUGUAGAGGUGAAAUUCGUAGAUAUUCGGAAGAACACCAGUGGCGAAGGCGACUCACUGGCCCAAUACUGACGCUGAGGCGCGAAAGCGUGGGGAGCAAACAGGAUUAGAAACCCUGGUAGUCC